rnacentral:rRNA from 1 species
AAGGUAGCGAAAUUCCUUGUCGGGUAAGUUCCGACCCGCACGAAUGGUGUAACGAUCUGGGCACUGUCUCAACUACCCACCCGGCGAAAUUGUAGUACCGGUGAAGAUGCCGGUUACCUGCGGCAAGACGGAAAGACCCCAUGGAGCUUUACUGUAGCCUGAUAUUGGGUUUCGGAAAUCUAUGUACAGGAUAGGCGGGAGACUGGGAAGUAUGAGCGUCAGCUUAUACGGAGUCAUUGUUGGGAUACCGCCCUUAGGUUUCUGGAAUUCUAACCUGCGACCGUGAAUCCGGUCGGGGGACAUUGUCAGGUGGGCAGUUUGACUGGGGCGGUCGCCUCCGAAAAGGUAACGGAGGCGCUCAAAGGUUGGCUCAGCACGGACGGAAACCGUGCCUCAGAGUGUAAACGCAAAAGCCAGCCUAACUGCGAGGAUGACGGUCCGAGCAGUAACGAAAGUUGGAGUUAGUGAUCCGGCGGUAUGUGAAUGGAAAUGCCGUCGCUCAACGGAUAAAAGCUACCCUGGGGAUAACAGGCUGAUCUCCCCCAAGAGUCCACAUCGACGGGGAGGUUUGGCACCUCGAUGUCGGCUCAUCACAUCCUGGGGCUGUAUUCGGUCCCAAGGGUUCGGCUGUUCGCCGAUUAAAGUGGUACGCGAGCUGGGUUCAGAACGUCGCGAGACAGUUCGGUCCCUAUCUGUCGUGGGCGCAGGAUAUUUGAGGAGCUCUGUCCUUAGUACGAGAGGACCGGGAUGGACGUACCUCUGGUGCACCAGUUGUCAUGCCAAUGGCACGGCUGGGCAGCUACGUACGGAACGGAUAAACGCUGAAAGCAUCUAAGCGUGAAGCCGACUCCAAGAUUAGAUAUCCCAUUGCAUAAGCAAGUAAGACCCCUUGAGGACUACGAGGUUGAUAGGCUGCGUGUGUAAGUGUCGUGAGGCAUUUAGCUUGGCAGUACUAAUAGGUCGAGGGCUUGACCACAA